GACGAACGCUGGCGGCGUGCUUAACACAUGCAAGUUGAACGGAGGCAUAUCAUCACGACUUUUCGGAGGAGAGAUGAUGUGUUCUUAGUAGCGGACGGGUGAGUAAUGCAUGAGAACCUGUCCUUCAGAGGGGGACAACAGUUGGAAACGGCUGCUAAUACCCCAUAUGCCGAGAGGUGAAAGGAGUAAUCCGCUGAAGGAGGGGCUCAUGUCCUAUCAGUUAGUUGGUGAGGUAAAGGCUUACCAAGGCGAUGACGGGUAGCCGGCCUGAGAGGGUGACCGGCCACAUUGGAACUGAGAUACGGUCCAGACUCCUACGGGAGGCAGCAGUGGGGAAUAUUGGGCAAUGGGCGCAAGCCUGACCCAGCGACGCCGCGUGAGGGAAGAAGGCCUUUGGGUCGUAAACCUCUGUUGUAUGGGAAGAAGGAAGUGACGGUACCAUACGAGGAAGUCCCGGCUAACUACGUG
rnacentral:rRNA from 1 species